UGGGGAAUAUUGGACAAUGGGGGCAACCCUGAUCCAGCAAUGCCGCGUGUGUGAAGAAGGUCUUCGGAUUGUAAAGCACUUUCGACGGGGACGAUGAUGACGGUACCCGUAGAAGAAGCCCCGGCUAACUUCGUGCCAGCAGCCGCGGUAAUACGAAGGGGGCUAGCGUUGCUCGGAAUGACUGGGCGUAAAGGGCGUGUAGGCGGUUUACACAGUCAGAUGUGAAAUCCCCGGGCUUAACCUGGGAGCUGCAUUUGAUACGUGUAGACUAGAGUGUGAGAGAGGGUUGUGGAAUUCCCAGUGUAGAGGUGAAAUUCGUAGAUAUUGGGAAGAACACCGGUGGCGAAGGCGGCAACCUGGCUCAUGACUGACGCUGAGGCGCGAAAGCGUGGGGAGCAAACAGGAUUAGAUACCCUGGUAGUCCACGCUGUAAACGAUGUGUGCUAGAUGUUGGGUAACUUUGUUACUCAGUGUCGCAGUUAACGCGUU
rnacentral:rRNA from 1 species